CAUUUAUUGUAUAAAUAAGACUACUUUUGUUUGAAAUAACAUUCGGCGGCAAAAUUUUAUAUCGGAAUAACAUAGAUCAAAAUGAAAAGGACUACAUGCAGUUUGUUGAUACUCCUUAUCAUCAGCUUAAUAAUUACAGUGGAGAUGAUUCCUAUCCGAGAUUGUGACUCUUGUAAUACUAAUUACAAUCAACAAUGUAUUGAUCACCCAUGUCCGGUUUUCAAAGCGGCUUGUGUUUUGUACUGCGCCCGACUCUUACACCAUUGUGACAUUUACUGCAGGCAGACAUGAUGGUUUAUUUCAUUGUAACGUUCUCUGUUGAAACGUGUGUAUACAAUAGAAUUAAAGGAUUGUGUGGACAUCCAAUGUCAAAAAUGACCUUUCUGAUCCGGAUUAAACUGGCAUAUUGUGGACAUGGUAUACCUGCAAAGUAUUCUGUUUGAGAGAUAUUUGUAUAUUGUGCACAUACAUUUUUCAUAUUGGUCCAGAAGGCAGCUUCUAUAUUUAGGUUUGCUCAACUAAAGCGUUCAGUACUUCAUAUCACGUGGUAAUAUUAGACAUUGAAAAUUAUGAACUUUAUAUUUUUAUACAUAUUUUACACAAUAAAUGUAUUAUAAAUGUA